GAUGAACGCUAGCGGCAGGCCUAAUACAUGCAAGUCGAACGGGAUCUGAGGGUAGCUUGCUACCCGAUUUGAGAGUGGCGCACGGGUGCGUAACGCGUGAGCGACCUACCCAUAUCAGGGGGAUAGCCCGAAGAAAUUCGGAUUAACACCGCAUAAUAAUACGCUAACACAUGUUGAUGUAUUUAAAUAUUUAUAGGAUAUGGAUGGGCUCGCGUGACAUUAGCUAGUUGGUAAGGUAACGGCUUACCAAGGCGACGAUGUCUAGGGGCUCUGGGAGGAGAAUCCCCCACACUGGUACUGGGACACGGCACAGACUCCUACGGGAGGCAGCAGUAAGGAAUAUUGGUCAAUGGGCGCAAGCCUGAACCAGCCAUGCCGCGUGCAGGAUGACUGCCCUAUGGGUUGUAAACUGCUUUUGUUAGGGAAUAAACCUUCUUACGUGUAAGGAGCUGAAUGUACCUAAAGAAUAAGGAUCGGCUAACUCCGUGCCAGCCGCCGCGGUAA
rnacentral:rRNA from 1 species